ACCUAACCUCCCAAGGCAACAGCAGAAGUGCUCAUGGCAUGGCCCUGUCAUAUUCCAGUGAAUCUGAAAAUUGUGCU
rnacentral:ribozyme from 1 species